rnacentral:misc_RNA from 1 species
UCGAGCGUCAUUUCAACCCUCAAGCUAUGCUUGGUCUUGGACACUGCCGGUAACGGCUUGUCCUAAAAUUAGUGGCGGUGCCAUUGAGCUCUACGCGUAGUAAUUAUAUUUUCGCUUCUGAGUCUCGGUGGACGCUUGCCAGCAACCCCCAAUUUUCUAUGGUUGACCUCGGAUCAGGUAGGGAUACCCGCUGAACUUAA